CCACUCCCCAGCUGUGAAAGGACUGCUGGCCAGACCCCCAAGCUAGCCCGCCAGGCCUCCAUAGAGCUGCCCAGCAUGGCUGCGUCCAGUACCAAGAGUUGGUGGGAGACGGGUGAAGUACAGGCUCAGUCUGCGGCCAAGACUCCAUCCUGCAAGGAAGGAGUGAUUGGCUGCUGGUCCUGCCCUGUCCGAGGAGGAGGACGGAACCCACCCACCAAGCUGUGGAGAGGUGGACCCCACAAAUCCCCUCGCAAGCCACGUCUGAGAGCGAGCAGAGGGAAGAAACUCAAGCGUUUGUAGUCCUCUUUCUUAACAACAAGGCUUAAAGCGCCAUCUUGUGUCUUGAAGG
ensembl:lncRNA LSP1P5 LSP1 pseudogene 5